AAAAACUAUGGGUACAGGUAUUGAACUGAAAACCCAUGAGCACAGGUACUGAACUAAAAACUAUGGGCACAGGUAUUGAACUGAAAACCCAUGGGCACAGGUAUUGAACUUGAAAACUAUGGGCACAGGUAUUGAACUGAAAACCCAUGGGCACAGGUAUUGAACUUGAAAACUAUGGGCACAGGUACUGAACUGAAAACCCAUGGGCACAGGUAUUGAACUUGAAAACUAAGGGCACAGGUAUUGAACUGAAACCCAUGAGCACAGGUAUUGAACUG
rnacentral:lncRNA from 1 species